UACGGCCAUAUCACAUUGAAACAGGUGUUCUCUUCCGACCGUCGCAAUUAAGCAACAUCGAACCUGGUCAGUACUUAGAUGGGUAACCACAUGGGAAUACC